UACAGAGGUCCCAAGCGUUGUUCGGAUUCACUGGGCGUAAAGGGUGCGUAGGUGGUCGGGUACAGUCCGAUGUGAAAUCUCCAGGCUCAACCUGGAAAUGGCAUUGGAUACUAUCUGGCUUGAGGAGUGGAGGGGGGACUGGAAUUCUCGGUGUAGCAGUGAAAUGCGCAGAUAUCAGGAGGAACACCGGUGGCGAAGGCGGGUCUCUGGGCCGAUACUGACGUGAGGAGCGAAAGCGUGGGGAGCGAACAGG
rnacentral:rRNA from 1 species